rnacentral:rRNA from 1 species
UACGUAGGGUGCGAGCGUUAAUCGGAAUUACUGGGCGUAAAGCGUGCGCAGGCGGUUGUGCAAGACCGAUGUGAAAUCCCCGGGCUUAACCUGGGAAUGGCAUUGGUGACUGCACGGCUAGAGUGUGUCAGAGGGGGGGUAGAAUUCCACGUGUAGCAGUGAAAUGCGUAGAGAUGUGGAGGAAUACCAGAGGCGAAGGCGGCUACCUGGACAAUUGCUGACGCUCAGGCACGGAAAGCGUGGGGAGCAAAAGGG